rnacentral:lncRNA from 1 species
GUGAGAGACGGAGAGCUGAGUCAGAGCUGUGGGGGGCAGCGGGGAGGGAGAGAGCCGCGGAGAAGGGGUGAAAGCAGAGGAGGAGGGGGUAUCCAUGGAAAUAAACCGGGUCUCAGGGAAAUCAGGCUUCUGGAGAGUGAGUUUGUUUGUAAUAAUAAUACGAAUUAUUCUCUCAGCCUGAGGUCACCGGGAGGUGUAGGCGGGAGAAAUUGGGAGUUGGAAAGGGGAAGAAUGGGGGAGGGGGUGGGAGAGGGCCGGAUGAAUUCGCUGAGCGGCGAGAGUGGAGUGGGUGCCUGGGUGGGGGUCAGGGGCGGUAGCCAGGCAGAAGCUGGAGGGAGAAGAUGGAUUAGGAGGCGCCUCUCUUCCCUCCCCGCGUCAAAGAUUAUGAAUGGAGAGCUACAUCCCAUGGGGUGGCAGAUGAAGAUGUGCAAGAAGAAGACACUAACAACUGAAUUGCAGAUUGAGGAGAUGAGAUUAUGGUGACAGAAUCCAUCUUCGGUGUAUGUGCAUGAAGAAAUAAGCCAAAUCUACAUCUAUAAAACCGCGGGAAGGAAUGAGAUAAUAAUCAGUUGCAGGUCUGCUUAGAUUUUAAUCGUUUAGUGUAGUUCGUGGCAGGGUCUGAUACCCUAUUUCAAUAGUGGAGAGAAUUAGAAAGCAUUUUCUUUUUUCAUAUCUACUAUUAUUGGUUAUAUAAAAGAAGUAUCAAAUAGU